UGCAUCUUCUGUGGCAAGAACAAUGGAUAUCUGUAUGUGAUAUUAUUUUGACGUAUAGCAUCACUAAACGGACCAUUUAGUUUGAGUUAGUUAGGUAAUAAGCUCGCUCAAUAAUAACAUGCUUGUUAUUCUUGUUAUUAUUGAUUAGUCCAGAUUUAUUGAUUCUACGUUAAAUAUUAUCACUUUCACAAUACUUCUACAGUACAAUAAAAUAUGUAUAACAUUUGCAUGUGUCGAUUAAAAUUGGUUGCAAAAAUCAAAUAGGGUGUUUGUGGUUGUUUGGCUUGAUUUAGUAAACAAACCGAGCUACCAUCAGAAUCGACCAAAAACUUUUUCAAGUGGAAAAAAAUGCAUCGGACCAAGUGGAAAUGUACAGGAGAUCGCUAUUGCCAUUUAGUAAGAACUGGUUAUUCGGUUUCAAAAUGUGGCAACGAAACCUUUCGGUAAGGAAGCAUACGAUAGAAGAAAGGACGAAAUUACCUCAACACUAAAUGAAUAUGUAACCAAAUAUAUAUUGACAUAAAUUCUGCCAGAUUGAAAAAAAAACAAUGUCCAGGAGCAAAAAUUAACAAACAAAAAAAUGAAAUGUAAAAAUAUAAUAGUGAAAAAAUAUAAAAAUAUUUCGUUAAUAAAUAAAGCAAUAUUUAUUUA